rnacentral:rRNA from 1 species
UACGAAGGGUGCAAGCGUUGUUCGGAUUUAUUGGGCGUAAAGCGCGCGUAGGCGGACCUGCAAGUCAGAUGUGAAAUCUCGGGGCUCAACCUCGAAACUGCGUCUGAAACUACAGGUCUAGAAUCUUGGAGAGGGAAGGGGAAUUUCGCAUGUAGGGGUAAAAUCCGUAGAUAUGCGAAGGAACACCAGAGGCGAAGGCGCCUUCCUGGACAAGUAUUGACGCUGAGGCGCGAAAGCGUGGGGAUCAAACAGG